CUCUGCUUUAUCCAUGGACCUUCUGU
rnacentral:piRNA from 1 species